GACGAACGCUGGCGGCGUGCUUAACACAUGCAAGUCGAACGAAGUGGCGAACGGGUGAGUAACGCGUAAGCAACCUGCCCUUCAGAGGGGGACAACAGUUGGAAACGACUGCUAAUACCGCAUACUGAAGGAGUGGUAUGCGUCUGAUUAGCUAGUUGGCGGGGUAACUGCCAACCAAGGCGAUGAUCAGUAGUCUGUCGGGGAGGAUGAACGGCCCAAUUGGGACUGAGACACGGCCCAGACUUCGAAGGGAGGCAGCAGUGGGGAAUCUUUCGCAAUGGACGAAAGUCUGGCGGAGCACCGCCGCGUGAGUGAUGACGGCCUGCGGGUUGUAAAGCUCUUUUAAUCGGGACGCGGUACCGGAAUAGAAAGCCACGGCUAACUACGUGCCAGCCGCCGCGGUAAUAC
rnacentral:rRNA from 1 species